rnacentral:rRNA from 1 species
GGUGCUAACGUCCGGUGUCAAGAGGGAAACAACCCAGACCGCCAGCUAAGGUCCCCAAUAUAAGCUAAGUGGGAAACGAAGUGGGAAGGCUAAGACAGUCAGGAGGUUGGCUUAGAAGCAGCCACCCUUUAAAGAAAGCGUAAUAGCUCACUGAUCGAGUCGUCCUGCGCGGAAGAUGUAACGGGGCUAAGCCAGUUACCGAAGCUGCGGAUUUGCAAUUUAUUGCAAGUGGUAGGAGAGCGUUCUGUAAGCCUGUGAAGGUGUCUUGUAAAGGAUGCUGGAGGUAUCAGAAGUGCGAAUGCUGACAUGAGUAGCGAUAAUGGGGGUGAAAAGCCUCCACGCCGUAAGCCCAAGGUUUCCUGUUCAACGUUCAUCGGAGCAGGGUGAGUCGGCCCCUAAGGCGAGGCAGAGAUGCGUAGCUGAUGGGAAGCAGGUUAAUAUUCCUGCACCGUCGUAUGAUGCGAUGGGGGGACGGAUCGCGGAAGGUUGUCCAACUGUUGGAAUAGUUGGUUUUUGGCUCAUAGAAGGUACUUAGGCAAAUCCGGGUACGGAAUUCAAGGGGUUGAGACGAGUGAACUUGUUCACGAAGCAAUCGGAAGUGGUUCCAAGAAAAGCCUCUAAGCUUCAGUCAUACGAGACCGUACCGCAAACCGACACAGGUGGGCGAGAUGAGUAUUCUAAGGCGCUUGAGAGAACUGCGGAGAAGGAACUCGGCAAAUUAAUACCGUAACUUCGGGAGAAGGUAUGCCCUUGUAGCGUGAAGAGAACAUCUUAGCGUGAAAGGGUCUCAGAGAAAUGGUGGCUGCGACUGUUUAAUAAAAACACAGCACUCUGCAAACACGAAAGUGGACGUAUAGGGUGUGACGCCUGCCCGGUGCUGGAAGAUUAAAUGAUGGGGUGCAAGCUCUUGAUUGAAGUCCCAGUAAACGGCGGCCGUAACUAUAACGGUCCUAAGGUAGCGAAAUUCCUUGUCGGGUAAGUUCCGACCUGCACGAAUGGCGUAACGAUGGCCACACUGUCUCCUCCUGAGACUCAGCGAAGUUGAAGUGUUUGUGAAGAUGCAAUCUCCCCGCGGCUAGACGGAAAGACCCCAUGAACCUUUACUGUAGCUUUGCAUUGUAUGUUGAAUCGUUUUGUGUAGGAUAGGUGGGAGACUAUGAAGCUUUGGCGCCAGCCAGAGUGGAGUCAACCUUGAAAUACCACCCUGAAUUAUUUGACGUUCUAACCUAGGCCGCUGAAUCGCGGUUGGGGACAGUGCAUGGUAGGCAGUUUGACUGGGGCGGUCUCCUCCCAAAUUGUAACGGAGGAGUUCGAAGGUACGCUUAACACGGUCGGACAUCGUGUGUAAAGUGCAAUGGCAAAAGCGUGCUUAACUGCGAGACUGACAAGUCGAGCAGGUGCGAAAGCAGGACAUAGUGAUCCGGUGGUUCUGAAUGGAA